GACGAACGCUGGCGGCGUGCUUAACACAUGCAAGUCGAACGGAAAGGCCCUGCUUUUGUGGGGUGCUCGAGUGGCGAACGGGUGAGUAACACGUGAGUAACCUGCCCUUGACUUUGGGAUAACUUCAGGAAACUGGGGCUAAUACCGGAUAGGAGCUCCUGCUGCAUGGUGGGGGUUGGAAAGUUUCGGCGGUUGGGGAUGGACUCGCGGCUUAUCAGCUUGUUGGUGGGGUAGUGGCUUACCAAGGCUUUGACGGGUAGCCGGCCUGAGAGGGUGACCGGCCACAUUGGGACUGAGAUACGGCCCAGACUCCUACGGGAGGCAGCAGUGGGGAAUAUUGCACAAUGGGCGGAAGCCUGAGGCAGCAACGCCGCGUGCGGGAUGACGGCCUUCGGGUUGUAAACCGCUUUCGCCGGUGACGAAGCGUGAGUGACGGUAAUGGGUAAAGAAGCACCGGCUAACUACGUG
rnacentral:rRNA from 1 species